GCAAAUGUUUUAAACAGCCCAGGAUGAUCAGAUUACAUUAAUGCAGGAAGUGAAUAUUGUUCCAACUUCAUUGAAUAUUCAACCUCUCCAUGUUGAAAAGGGAGUGAGGGCUUGAAGAACAUUUUACCCAUUUUUUCUGUUGUUAUCUACCAGUCCAAAGUUACCCACCACUUAGUUCAAAUACAAUAACACUAAGUCUAAGCUGUUCAAGUAUAUAGUGUGACUCUGUGGCGGAUGAAGUACUCUGCCACCUCCAGUCUACAUGGGAGUCGAAGCAUUGAAUCACAGUUCAACAUCUGUCAUUUGACAUAGCCAAAAUUCAUAACGAUUGCGUUCAUUUUCGUUUGUUCUGUGCGCUACGGCCGGGGAUGAAACCGCAAGUGUUUGCAGUUUCACCGACUUCUCUCCAGUUGCCGGUGUAUCUCUUCAGGUAACAGUAACCGCCCGCGUGAGUAAAGUGGGUGCAUUGAGAGUUGGCGAUGCAGAUGCCUCCGCAUUGCUCACCGAGGCUGGGCUUGGCGCCGAUGACAUUGCCAACAAAAUGACAAUUGUAGUCCCAGCGAGACAAACCGUUGUCGCCUACCUGCCAGAAUCGAGCGGACACGGUGGUCAUGGACACGGCAGCCAUGAGCAGGAAAAUUGACAAGACCUUCAUUCUAUCAAAGACUGUAGGAAGGAGAUGGAACACACAGAUCAACUGAUGUUUCUUGGUUUGAAUCUCGAGUCGAAGUGUUUCCUUUUAUACGGGGGUGACUGC